GCAGCCACGUGAUCGGGGUAUCUACGCAGCAAGGUCGUGAGGUCAGCGAGGGGAGCCCCAGACCGCUCCGACUGGGAAACGGCCUGGCGCCGCUCGCCGGCUAGGGCAGCUUUCCUUCCUCCACUGCCGGCCCUUGUAGCUCCGCAGGGGCUGGAGGGCGAGGCCGCAGCGGCGAAAACGACUGAAGUCCGGGCUCAGCCGCGGGCUUUAGGCAUGCAGAGUGGCAGAGAGGCCAGGAAGCAUCCAGGCCACAGACUGAGCCACCCAAAUGGAAACGUUGUGGACCUCAAGACAUCUUUUGACUGCACAGAGAGAUGUUGCCUUCCGUAUUUCUAGCAGCACAACUCCAAGCCUCACCCAACAAAAGUGUCUCAGAAAAUUCGUUCAGGAUACUUCUUCACUGGGUUGGUUUAUCUAGGGUGGGGUGGUGCGGUGAGUUAGAAACCAACUGAAUUGAAUGGUGAUGCAUGCCUAUAAUCCCAGCACUCGGGAGGCUGAGGCAGGAGGAUCACUGUGAGUUUGAGGC
ensembl:lncRNA